GACAAUUCAUAACAUAUCAUGCUGAAGGAGGUGACAUUCCAUAACAUAAUGAUAUGUCACACUAAGGGAGGUGGCGGUUUAUAAUAUAAUAACAGAAUCGCACUGAGCGAGGCGACAAUCCAUAACAUAAUUAUAUGUCACUCUGAGGGAGGUGACAGACCAUAGCAAAAUAACAUAUCUUGCUGAAAGAGGUGAUGAUCUAUAACAUAAUGAUAUGUCAUUCUGAGGGAGGUGACUGCCCAUAACAUAAUAACAUAUCACGCUGAAUGAGGUGACAAUCCAUAACAUAAUGAUAGAUCACUAUGAGGGAGGUAACAGUCUAUAACAUAAUAACAUAUAACAUUGAAGGUGGUGACAAUCCAUAACAUAAUGAUAUGUCAUUCCGAGGGAGGUGACGAUCCAUAGCAAAAUAACAUAUCACGUUGAAGAAAGUGACAACCCAUAACAUAAUGAUAUGUCACUCUGAGAGAGGUGGCGGUCCAUAACAAAAUAACAUAUCAUGCCGAAGGAGGUGAUAGUCCACAAUAUAAUAACUUGUCACUCUGAAGGAGGUGAUGAUCCAUAAUAUAAUAGCGCAUUACUGUGAAGGAGGUGAUGAUCCAUAGCAUAAUAAUGUCACUCUAAAAAAUAUGAUAUCCAUAUAGUGUAUCACUCUGAAGGAGGUGAUGAUCUAUAUAGUGUAUCAUUUUGAAGGAGGUGAUGAUCCAUAACAUAAUAACAUGGCAUCUCAAAUAAAGUAAUGGUCCAACACAUCCUCUUAAAAAGGUAGAAAAUCCACAUAUAAUAAGAUGUGUUCUUCUAAAAGAGGGAUGGCCCAAAUAUAAUAGGAUGUGUCACCUCGAAUGAAGUGGCAAUUUGGUAUGUCCUUUUGAAAGAGUGGAUGACCUAAAUAUAAUAAGAUGUGUCACCUCGAAUGAAAUGAUGAUUCCGUAUGUCCUCUUGAAAAGGUGGAUGACCCAAAUAUAAUAAAAUGUGUCACCUCAAAUGGGGUGAUAAUCCGGUAGGUUUUCUUGGAGGAUAGAAAACCCUAAUAUAUAAACAAAGAUAGAAGUUGACUUAUUGAACUUCAGCCCUUGAAUCGGUAAUCCUUAAAAGGACUUGUACAUGUCCUGAUCUUUUGGAUUGAAUCCUCAAAGUUUGAGAGGAUUAUUUUGUGUUAUUUCAUAGAGGCAGUCUUGCAUAUGUCACCUGCAUAACUCAAACAACACUUAUUAAUAAUCAAAAGAAAUUGUUGUAACUAAGCCAGGAGUGUAACAGAAGAUAAACUUUAAAGAUAAAUUUGUUUGAUUCAUUAUUAUUUAGAGAUAGUGAUUUGCAUAAUAUCUCUAUAUCUUAGUUGCUAUGUCUGAUUAAUUCCCUGUAAAAUCAAAGAAAAUGUUAGAGAUCAUAGCGAAGCAACAGAAACAUAAAUCAAGAGGAAAAGGGAGAAGAAAAGUUGUCUAGAUUAUUAUGGCGAGGCCACGGUGGAUCUGGUAAUCCCUUUUGUCAUGCUCAACAUUGUCAGCUUUGUGACUUCCUGCAUCUAAAUAAAAAUUCUUUGUUUUUAGAGACUGACAUUGUUGGUUUUGCCUUGAUAUCCUCAUGCUCCUUGGUGAUCAUUGAUUUGCAAGCUUUUUGAUCUUGAAAUGCAUUUCUUGUGAAAUUUUUUAGGAUCUUCAUCAAAAAUUCUGCCCCAGUCUAUAACAUAGAAACUCUUGAACUUUCUUAUAACUUAUGACAUUGUUUAGUAUAGAAUUUUUGAUAUCUUAUCAAAAAUUUUUCCUCAGUCUAAAAUGCAAAGUGCUUGAGUUAUUUCUAAUGUAGCGUAACUUGAAAUUUAAGAACUUCUCAAAAAUAAUGUUCUAAUUUCAUCUUCAACGUCUGCUGUUCAACUUUUUAGCAAAUGUCAAGUUUUGUGAAACUUUUGAGACCUUCUAAAAAAUUUCUUCCCAAGUAACAUGCUUCAAUGUCAUCUCCAUGUAUCUUGGAAAAGAUCCUCUCAAAAAUUCUGCCCUUGUUUUUAUGGAAAUCUUACGGGGAAUAUUACCGAAUUGAUGUGAUGCCCACGUAUUCCGUUGAGGUUGGAAUAAGGUCAAACAUAUCUCUAAUAUAUAAUGAAAAAAAAAAUUACUAAGAGGUUGACUGAAGCCGAUAUAGGCCACCCACCAACAUAUCCCAUUCUUGAAAAUUCAGGUCAAAUGUAAUUCGUAUUUUUUCGACUGAUGAUGUCAAUGAUUAUUUUACUUUAAGUCUUUGUAAAGUGGGAAAGUUUGAUUACCAACACAAAUCAAUCUCUCUCUAAAAAGAAAGAAAAAUACUUCAAAAGGUAAAAAAGUUAGUUCAUGAAUCGUAAUAAUUUACCAAAGUAAUAUAUGAAACCAAUGACAUAUAUUUGACUCGAAAUAGACUAGUCUAGAAUUCGAAGAAUAGCGCACCUUGAGAAAAUGACUGAAUGAUCAGAGUUUUGACAAUUUAACGGAUUUUGGAUUUAUGGGUAAAAUGGCAUUUCGAAUAGAAUGAACUAAGUGAUUUGAAGAAAUUUAGUGUUUACGAAUAAACAUCCUAGAGGCUUAUUGGGAAAGCUCUUUUGAAGCAACAUAGUCUUUCCAUAAAUAGAAUAUCCGAAUAAUUCUAGCCAUAAUUAAGUGCAAAAAAAAUAAUUUGUAAGAGCAAUGUGGUCAAUGUAAAUUGGACAGUGACCUAAUGAAUUUUUGAGAAACUUCGAUGAAUUGAAAGGACUUUAUCGAUGGACUUUUAUAGAUGUUUUAGGAGGAUUAUAAUUUUUAGUCUUAUAGGCCUAUCAAUGCUCUAAGACAUCGAGAUAGAAUAAUGGACUAGCCUUGUUUAAAGCCAAACAUAUGUUAUUUAAACAAACAAAUCAAGCAAAUAUAGACAAAGAAAAAUAAUGACACACUUUUGCAGAUAAACAAAUUUUAACGUGUCCUAGUAUACAUAACACCUUUCAAGCCAAAGGUAAGCCUAAUGUUUGCAGGAUAUGCAUGUCGUUGGUAAGACGUUCCAUUGCUCCAAAAAUGUUAUAAAAAUUUCUGAGAUAGGACAAAUGGGGAUACAAAUAAGGAAAAGGGGAAAUAAAUGAUAUUAGUCCCACGUAGAGGAGCAAACCUAAACUAAACCUCUCUGGAAGUCAUUCGAUCUUGAACUUCUUGAAAUGUCUGAAUGACUUUUUGAUGAAGAUAUUCGCUAUAUUUCAAUAAAAGAAACUACAUAAAUAAAGUCCUCAAACCCAAGGAACAAUGAUUCGUACAAUUCGAGAAUAUAUCCUUCAAUUUAAACACAUAAGGGAUGAUUGACUGUUAUUGACUUUUGGUCAAUAGACGUAGGGUAGGUUUCUCUAAUGAACCCAAUACCCCCUCAAGUAUUGGAUCGUCCUAGGCUUAUGCCUAAAAAGAGUUUGGAUUUCUCUCUAUACUAGAUAUCUAAAGUGGGCUUUGACCAUGUUCUCAAGUGGACAACUCGGAUUUGAAAAUACAAACAGUCAUCAAAUGCCUAACGUGCCAGUAAACUGUUGUAUUUCCAACACUUGUAUUUGGAAUUGAUCAAUAGAGGCCACGACAAUUGUGAAAUCUCAAAUAGUUUGAUAAUUAAAUGUGGAAGUAUGCCAUGAAUGAAACAGUGAAUAAUUGUAAAAAUCGAAACACAUAAUUGCAAAAGUAACAAUUAAUACAAAUAUUAGCCAAACACAUAAAAUUCUUAUGGUUAGGACCUAGAUGAAUCUCCAACAGAGUCGUCAUUCUGUUACGAUCCGUUUUCAAAACUAGUUAAAAAUGUUUCUUAACUUCAUGGCAAAAAAAGGAAUUUGUAUGAUUUUAUUUUGAAAAAAUAAUUUAGAGUUGCCACUUAAUUUUAGAAAAAUUAAUAAACCAUUUAAAAUGGUUUUUGAAAGAAAACCUUUUAAAAAUAACCAUAGUCUAGGUAAGGGCUCAAGUAAAUUCGAAAGAAGCUGUUAGGCACUUUUGAAAAUCCACAAAGUGUGGUUCCCAGCGGAUUAAACCUAUUUGGCUAAACAUGAAAAAAAAAAUUCUUAAGUUGUAAAAAAAUCUUCAAUUUAUUUUAGGAAAACCAUAAAUUUACUUGGAAAUCUAAUUUUAAUAAUAGAAUUUAUUUGAUACUAAUCCAUUUAAUUUAGGGAUAACUGCAUGGCUUAGCAAAUAUAGACUUCUAAUUACCAUAUUUAAUGUAAGUUUCAAUUAAUUACAAUCAAUAGUCCCCCUUGCCUAUUAAUUAUCCUUAAUUACAAUUUAUAGCCUCUCUCAUGUAUUUUCUCUCUUUCUCUAUUUUCUAUUACUCUUCUUUUUUCCUUUUUCAAUUUUUUUCUUCAUUUUUUCUUUUUUCUUUUGUUUUCUCUUUUUCUUUUUUCAUUUUUCUUUUUUUCCUUUUCCUUUUUUUUCCUUUUCAUUUUUUCUCCUUUUUUUCCCUUUUUGUAUUUUUUCUCAAUUUUCUAUUACUCUCCUUUUUUUUUUUUUGCAUUUUUUCUUCUUUUUUUCUCCUUUUUUUUCUCCUUUUUGUUUUUUCUAUUUUUUUCAUUUAUGUGAACUAGCAAACACAAAUACAAGUGCGAACUAUAAAAUACAAACACAAAUGUGAACUAUAACAUAUAAAUACAAGUGCAAACUAUAAAAUACAAAGACAUGUGAACUAUAACAUACAAAUACAAGUGAAUACUAUAAAAUACAAAUACAAAUGUGAACUAUAACAUACAAAUACAUGUGUGAACUAUAACAUACAAAUGCGAACUACCAUUUGUAUUUUUCAAUUAUUGAAAGAGAACGAUUGAUUUUCUUUCUAUGAAUAUUUAUUUGUAUUUAUUGAUACUAGUUGUAUUUAUUGAUACAAAUAAAUUCAAUUCAAAUAUUUAUACAAAUACAAUAUAUACAAAUACAUAUUGUAUUUGUAUUUGUAAAAUCAUCUGUUUCAUUUGUUUGUAAUUGUAUUUGUAUCAAGUGAUAUUUGCUUAUAUACAAAUACGAAUGAUAAUUUUGACAUACAAAUACAAAACGGUACAUUUGUAUCAAAUGAUACAUUACAUAUUUAUAUAUUUUAGAAUCAAGAAAUGCAAUUAAUGCAUUUACUUGUUUGUAUACAGAGAUUGUUGGUGUUAUUAUGCAUUUUAAUAUUAAAGUCUUAAGUUGCAUGAUAAUUUAUGGACAUAAAGUGGAGAAAGUGGUAUCACUAUAUUAUGAUAACUCUUGUAACUUCGAACACAUUAUUUGUCAAUAAUCUACCACAUUAUGUCUUGAAACUCAUAUGACCAUUAGUUGUUGUAAAUCCAUGGUCAUUAUUUUCACGUAACAUAUGUAACAACAAGACUAUUUAUCUACCCACAUUACUCUAAUUGUUAAUGGUGGUAGAAUAUGACCUUUAGUAAUUUGUAACUUCUCUCAUUAUUUUGUUGUAACUCUCAUGGAUAUUAGUGCCAUUAGUUUCUUGUAACUCUUGUAACCUAAAGACGGUUGAUCUUUCCACUUUAUUCUUCCCAUUCAAUAGAAGGAUGAAUACCUCACUUAUAAAUAGAGGUAGUCUUGCAUGUACAAGAUAAUAUGAUAAUGUACAAGAUAAUAUGAUAAGUGUGAAAAGGAUUAUUGUGUGUAGUAGUGAAAGACAGUAUUGAGACAAAGAAAAUAUUCUAAGUCUACAACUAUAUUCAGUAUACAAAAGUGAGUAAUUAUAUUAGCGAAAGAAUGAGUUGAGACAAAGAAAAUAUUCUAAGUCUUUAACUAUAUACACUUAAAAAAAAGAAAGUAAAUAUAUGUUGAAGGUGUUCUUAUGAUGGAGCUUUGGACUCUUCAACUAAUCCAGAGUUGCUUGAGUUAUACAUUGUUUAUAGGCUGUUUAUCCUAGAGGGGACAAGUCACGAAAUACACUGCUGGAUUGGUGUAGAUUAUGCCGCAGUAGGCUUGAAUCUCCUUAAAGAGAGCGAGAUAUCUAUGUCUCAGCCAAGAAGAAGAUUAUUUCAUUUCCUUCGCUCUUUUGUUCAUUUUAUUUUCAACUGUAAUCAUUUAUUGUAAUUGUGGUAUACUACACCAACAAAUGCAAAUGAUAAAUUAUAUAUAGCCACAACUAAAUACAACAUGCAAUCAACUUACAACUAUAAAAUAAUUUUAAAAAAAUAAAAAGGCAUCGACGAAAAUAGAAUACAAAUACAAAUAUAAUUCAAAUAUAAUCUAAAUAUACAAACACAAUAAAACCACAAUACAAAUAUAAUCCAAGUAUACAGUCAAUUAUAAAAUACAAAUAUAAAAUAGUUCUUUAAAAUACAAGUGCGAAUUCUAUAAUAUAUAAAUGAUGCUGCGAACUAACAAAUAUAAAUACAAGAGCGAACUAUAAAAUACAAAUACAAAUGCAAACUACAAAAUACAAAUACAAGUGUGAACUUCAAAAUACAAAUACAGAUACAGGUGUAUCAAUGAAUACAAAAAUACAAAUGACGAUGUGACUACAAAUACAAUAAUAAUUGUGAUAUUUACAUUAUCAUCCAUGACUUGUGCUCGAGUAGUCAUAUUUUUUGAAAAUAAAAAAAAUAUAAAAUAGAACCAAAAAAAUGAUAAAGAAAAUAAGUACAAAAAGAAAAUAAAAAAAUCAAAGAAGAAAAGAAAAGAAGAAAGAGAAAUAGAAGUUAGAGAUAGAAACGAGAAAAAAAAGAAGAAAAAAGCAAAAAGAAAGAAACGAAAAAAAUAAAAAAAGAAGAAAAAAAAUGAGGAAAACACGAAAAAGGAAAAAAUAUAAAAAAUAAAAAAGAAAAAAAAUAGUGUUUUUGGCGAGACUAAAUAUAUAUUGUAUUUAUAUUUUUUUAUGAAUACAGACCACUGAAUAAAAGAGAAUACAACGGUUGUUAAUCGAAUACAUCGACUAUAAAUGGUAAAUAUGUAAAGUGUGGUUAUGGAAGGUGGAUUUUAUGCCAAACUUUUGCUAUUUUUGAAACUUCACCUUUAAUUUAUUCUAACUGCUAAAAUAAACUAAACACUAGAGUUUCAAAAUUCUAACUUUAACAAUUUUAUCUGAAUAUAAACUUUGGGCUAAAUAGUAAACUCAAUAUCUUAAACAUGGGUUUAAGCUAUUUAAUAGCUAUAAAAGGAUAUGACAAAAUCCUCAGGUUAUUCUAUAAGCUUAUGUCUGCCUAAAUAGAAAAAUAAAAAUAAAUAAAUAAAUAAAUAAAUAAAUAAAAUGAAUAAUUUUGACAUAAAUUUGCUCCCCGAGGAUUCAUCUAGAUUAAUUAAUUAAAUUAGAUGCAAAUAAUCAAAUCAAAUACAAGAAAAUAAAGGAAGAAAAGUAGAGAUUUGGGCCUCUUUCUAACCUAUUUCAAAUCUGUCCAAUUCUUGGUCUUGCAAAGUUAUGAACUUUAAGUCCAUUUUUAGCCGUUGUAUAUCAAAACCCUUCAUCCUUGUGUUUUUAUGCAUACCGCUGCGAAUGCAUUUUAUAUCAAUGUAUAUUUUGUCUUCGAACUAUAUAUUUGCUUCCAUUCCUUAAUUCCUGUCAUAUAUCCUUUGUAUACUACUACUGUAUAUCCAUGUAUACAGCCUUGUUUUCUUCAAAAAAAUAAGUCCAUUCGGACUACUUUGGAGACUGGACUCAAAAUGAUACGGGCCUUCUUUUCCCAUUGCGGAAACGUAGAAGACAUAGAGUCCAUUUGGACUUGGAUAAAGUUUCACAUGCAUAGAAAAAAAUUAAUAGAUGCUAAAGGUAAGAUUCAAAUAAGUUUCAACACUUGGGAGCCUGUUGGGAUCAAGAAAAAUAGGAAACAUAUCAAAUUAGCUUAUUCAUUUAUUCAAGGUAAGACAACACGAGUAGUUUAUGGGCGUUACAAAUAAUUUUUCAGACUAUGUUCAAUCUGGUAAAACUUUGACACAAAGGGAGAAAAAAAAUAAUAGGAAGAAAAAAAUUGACUUAAUCAACUAAUCAACAACACUAGAAUAGCAAAGGCGUUAAACACCAAAAGGACAUGAACAUGCUAUUGAUUUAAGCAACAGUCAAACAAGGCAACUCCAUGAAUUUACAAAUUACACGGUAGUGGUGCCUUCAAUCAUAAAUGAGACAUUCAAGCAAAUUAAACACGAAAAACAGAAUACUUCACAGGUCUAAAGCAAUAUUUUGAUGAAAGGUAUAAGGCUAAUACCUUAUUUUUAACUUCAGACGCAAGAUGAGUUAAUUGACACUUGAUUGGAAACACAGGAAAAAGAAGACAUAACCAAAACUAGAUAGGCAUCACAUACGUCUAUAGUCAUCUUUACCCGAAUUCCAGACAGAACAAACAUAUUAAAAUCAAAACGGACAAGAAUUGAUAUCUAGGCAGGGAACUUUGAACAUACUAAUACCGAAUUUGCAUUAACAUUGACUUUUAAUACAUAUGACAUAUUAAUGGAAGAGAAAUGAUAUUCACCUUUUGUCGAGCAGCCAACUGGGACGACGAGUGGACGAUGACUACCGACUUCUUCGAUUCCAAAACACAAGAAAAUUAAAAAAGAUUGAGCCAAAAUUCUCACAACUCCAGGCCGAGGACCGAAGUUCAAAAUCCUAGCCGAUUAAAGAGAAUUUCAACUCUUUUUAGGUCCUAAAAAUCUCCUUGUUCUUUAGCAAAAUUUCUUACUUGGGGUUCUUGCCUCAGAACAACCAUCCCCUCCACUAAUGAAUAGUGAGGAUAUUUAUAGGAACAAAUUGAAUGGAAUUGAGGAUGAAUUUUCGGUGUGGGAAAUGGAAAAUUUAGGGGUGUUUUUGAGAAUUUUGAUUGUGUAUUUCAAAUUGAAGAUAAAGUUUAAGCUGGUAAAAAUCAUACAGAGAGAUGGAGGUGAGUGGGAAAAGGGGAAAAGAAUCAAGGCUUUGGGUUGAUGUGGGGUUUUGUGGGUUGUUGUUGUACGCUUUGUUGAAGUUGAAAUUGUUGUUGAUGUUGGUUGUUGUUUUGUUAGGUGUUGAAUCGGGUUGCUGAAGUGUUUUAAUCGGGUAAGGGGAAGGGAAAAGGGAAUAUGGAUCGGGUCUGGGUCGGCUUGGGAGUUAGGUAUUGGGCUGGACUGGCUG
rnacentral:lncRNA from 1 species